rnacentral:rRNA from 1 species
GUAGGGUGCAAGCGUUAAUCGGGAAUUACUGGGGCGUAAAGCGUGCGCAGGCGGUUUUGUAAGACAGAGGUGAAAUCCCCCGGGGCUCAACCUGGGGAACUGCCUUUGUGACUGCAAGGCUGGAGUGCGGCAGAGGGGGAUGGAAUUCCGCGUGUAGCAGUGAAAUGCGUAGAUAUGCGGAGGAACACCGAUGGCGAAGGCAAUCCCCUGGGCCUGCACUGACGCUCAUGCACGAAAGCGUGGGGAGCAAACAGGAUUAGAUACCCUGGUAGUCCACGCCCUAAACGAUGUCAACUGGUUGUUGGGUCUUCACUGACUCAGUAACGAAGCUAACGCGUGAAGUUGACCGCCUGGGGAGUACGGCCGCAAGGUUG